UACGAAGGGUGCAAGCGUUACUCGGAAUUACUGGGCGUAAAGCGUGCGUAGGUGGUUCGUUAAGCCUGAUGUGAAAGCCCUGGGCUCAACCUGGGAAUGGCAUUGGAAACUGGCGACCUAGAGUGCGGUAGAGGGCAGUGGAAUUCCCGGUGUAGCAGUGAAAUGCGUAGAGAUCGGGAGGAACAUCUGUGGCGAAGGCGACUGCCUGGACCAGCACUGACACUGAGGCACGAAAGCGUGGGGAGCAAACAGG
rnacentral:rRNA from 1 species